rnacentral:rRNA from 1 species
GACGAACCGUGCGAACGUUAUUCGGAAUCACUGGGCUUAAAGGGUGCGUAGGCGGGCCGAGAAGCCAGGGGUGAAAGCCUCCAGCCCAACUGGAGAAGCGCCUUUGGAACUAGCGGCCUAGAGGGGUGCAGGGGCAUGCGGAACUCAGGGUGGAGCGGUGAGAUGCGUAGAUAUCCUGAGGAACACCGGUGGCGAAAGCGGCGUGCUGGACACCUUCUGACGCUGAGGCACGAAAGCCAGGGGAGCGAACGGG